UACGAAGGGGGCUAGCGUUGCUCGGAAUCACUGGGCGUAAAGCGCACGUAGGCGGCUUACUAAGUCAGGGGUGAAAUCCUGGAGCUCAACUCCAGAACUGCCUUUGAUACUGGUAAGCUCGAGUCCGGGAGAGGUGAGUGGAACUGCGAGUGUAGAGGUGAAAUGCGUAGAUAUCUGGAGGAACACCGGUGGCGAAGGCGGCAUCCUGGACCAAUAUUGACGCUGAGGUGCGAAAGCGUGGGGAGCAAACAGG
rnacentral:rRNA from 1 species